CCUCAAGCACUGAUUGCUCCUGUUAUUUCUGUCUCUACUGAUCGCCUCGUCACGUCUCGCUGUGUGAAUCUGAAGCAUGAGAUCAUCUGUGAUGCUUCAGGAUUCAGACUGGACACCAUCUUCAGAGCGAGGAAUGAAACUGCAGCGACUCCAGACUCAG